CAAGGCUAUGGAUGAAAAACCCUCAUGUGUCACGUCUGACUGUUAGAUGUCUAUCGUGAUGGUGUGGAGUAUGUGAUCAUACAUUUGUAUUCCAGUCCCUAGGUCCUACAUACUCAGGCAGUGGAUAAAAACAAACGAACAGAAAUUGUUCUAAAAAGAUAAUAAAAGCAAGGAGAGCCACAUGCAAUAGUAAGUGAGGAACCUUAGGUAAAAAACCCAACAC
rnacentral:lncRNA from 1 species